GACGAACGCUGGCGGCGUGCUUAACACAUGCAAGUCGAACGGAAACGCCCUGCGUUCGUGCGGUGCUCGAGUGGCGAAGGGGUGAGUAAGAGGAGAGUAACCUGCUCUUGAUUUUCGGAUAACUUCAGGAAACUGGGGUUAAUACCGUAUAGCAUCCGCUGCUGCAUGGUGGGGGUUGGAAAUUUUCGGCUGUCGGGGUUGGAUUCGCGGCUUAUGAACUUGCUGGUGGGGUAGUGGCUUACCAAGGCUUUGACGGGUAGCCGGCCUGGGAGGGUGACCGGGCACAUUAGGACUGAGAUACGGCCCAGACUCGUACGGGAGGCAGCAGUGGGGAAUCUUGCACAAUGAGCGGGAGCCUGAUGCAGAAGCGCCGCGUGCGGGAUGACGGCCUUCGGGUUGUAAACCGCUUUCGCCUGUGACGAAGCGUGAGUGACGGUAAUGGAUAAAGAAGCACCGGCUAACUACGUG
rnacentral:rRNA from 1 species